CUUCAGCGACCCCAGCCAGAGCGGCCGACCCUCCGGGCGCUGCCCGUAGGUCGCCAGCAGCGCCUGGGCCUC
rnacentral:antisense_RNA from 1 species